rnacentral:lncRNA from 1 species
GGCGACCUUGAGAGAGUAGGUAAAACCUUAUCAAAAAAUCCUUCUUCUCCCAGACGCUAACCCACCAAAGAAAAACCCCAUUUUCUCUCCUCUUUCAAAUGGCCGAUCGUCUCGGUGUUUAAAGAAGGCCUUCUGCCUCUUCGAUAAGGACUGCGAUGGAAUUUGUGGUAUUCGCAAGUCGCCGAAAGAUGGAUUUGGAAGCUUCGAAUUCGCAAGUCGCUGAAAGAUGGAUUUGGAAGCUUCCAACCAUAGGGGAAUUGUAGACUUCAUUGGAAUCUACCUUGGCAUUAAAGACAUGGUUAGUAGGCACGGCAGACCUGUAUUGUCCUUACGCUAAGGGACAUCAGGUACUGAAUCAUAGCACGUGUUUCAGAUAACACAGGUAGCAUCGCGGCAGUCAUUUUCGACCAUGCCGGCAAACAACUUUUAGGUAAGACGUGAAGAGUUGGCUGCAACUAAAGACCCGAUGAAAACAUUGUACUUAGUAAUGGGGCAGACACCAAUGCACCAUCAAAAAGGCCUGGCAAAGGCAAUUUGACCGAUCAAAACUGAACUCACUGAAGAUGUCACUUUUGUCCACCUAAAAGAAGAAGCGAAGGCGGGAUGCAGCCUAAAAGUAGAAUCGCUAAAAGCAUACCUUACUUUAGAACUACUUGUAACUAAUUUGUAAACUGCAUACUAAUGCCAGCAGUGUGUAUGCCUAAACAUACUGUAUUUUGUAUGCUGUGUCUACAAACAGCACCGUGAUUAACUACUGAAAAGUCGUUAUUAACAUAACCAAUGUUUGCAACCGUAAGCAAAUUAAUCUAACAUGUAAUGUCGCGCAACGCGCGAC